rnacentral:rRNA from 1 species
UACAGAGGGGGCGAGCGUUGUUCGGAAUUACUGGGCGUAAAGGGCGCGUAGGCGGCCCGCUAAGUCGAACGUGAAAUCCCCAGGCUCAACCUGUGAACUGCGUCCGAUACUGGCAGGCUUGAAUCCGGGAGAGGGAUGUGGAAUUCCAGGUGUAGCGGUGAAAUGCGUAGAUAUCUGGAGGAACACCGGUGGCGAAGGCGGCAUCCUGGACCAAUACUGACGCUGAGGAGCGAAAGCCAGGGGAGCAAACGGG